AUUGAACGCUGGCGGCAGGCCUAACACAUGCAAGUCGAGCGGAUGAAGGGAGCUUGCUCCUGGAUUCAGCGGCGGACGGGUGAGUAAUGCCUAGGAAUCUGCCUGGUAGUGGGGGAUAACGUCCGGAAACGGGCGCUCAUACCGCAUACGUCCUGAGGGAGAAAGUGGGGGAUCUUCGGACCUCACGCUAUCAGAUGAGCCUAGGUCGGAUUAGCUAGUUGGUGGGGUAAAGGCCUACCAAGGCGACGAUCCGUAACUGGUCUGAGAGGAUGAUCAGUCACACUGGAACUGAGACACGGUCCAGACUCCUACGGGAGGCAGCAGUGGGGAAUAUUGGACAAUGGGCGAAAGCCUGAUCCAGCCAUGCCGCGUGUGUGAAGAAGGUCUUCGGAUUGUAAAGCACUUUAAGUUGGGAAGAAGAGCAGUAAGUUAAUACCUUGCUGUUUUGACGUUACCAACAGAAUAAGCACCGGCUAACUUCGUG
rnacentral:rRNA from 1 species